rnacentral:tRNA from 1 species
CGCGGGAUGGAGCAGUCUGGUAGCUCGUUGGGCUCAUAACCCAAAGGUCGGAGGUUCAAAUCCUCCUCCCGCAA